UGGCCCCAAAAACCAAUGAAAACACUGUGUUGGCGAUUGUGGGUUUAGUCCACGUUUUAGUAAACCGUGACUAGAUCCAUACUCGUCUAUAGAGGUUUUUAGCACGACUUGGGCCCCACA
rnacentral:precursor_RNA from 15 species